UGUCUAGGGGUGGCCCUUGAGGCCUGAGAACAUACCCUCGAACCUGAUCCGGGUAAUGCCGGCGUAGGAACGACGU
rnacentral:ncRNA from 1 species